rnacentral:misc_RNA from 1 species
AGAGAGAGAAACCUGGAGAGUGAGGGAGGAUAGAAAGCAUUGGGGGAACGAGAGAGGAGUCAACAAUAGUGUUGAGCACGUUUCCCGAGAUGAUGUAAGUAAACAACGAAAUAUCCCUCUAAAUGAUACAAUACAUCCCGGAUAUAAGCAGUUAAGAUCAACGGAAAAGGGAGAAGGAGCAGAAACCAAAACUGCAAAAGAACCUGAAAACCCAAGUAGUCCACACAAACCAGUGAUUCAACAGGACAACAAAUAUUCUUCAUCCGAUAACUCUGAGAAUUCCAAAACAAAAUCUGGAAAAAUAAACUGCAUAUGCUUAUAUCAUACCUUUGACCCAGAGAUGCUAAGAUGCUCCAGCUGUGGUAACUUUUCCCACAAAACUUGUUACAACAGCAACCUGAAAAGUACUCAUCAAUGCGUAUGUUUAAUUAAGGAAGGCGUAAAAUGUGGAAACCCCGAAAUAGAUAACCAUUUCAGUAAUAAAUCAAGAUCUAUCGAGGAAAAUCUUGCUUUUGUUUUCAACCUCAAUCGUAAGAGAGUCUUGAAAUCAAUUCUAAACCAAGAGUUCCUAACCUGUCAGCCGGGAAGCGAUCCUUCCAUAGAAUUUUUGAAAAUAAGGUUUGGUUACUCCACCGAUUAUGCAUCACCCUGAACUUAUUAAGUGAGGGCUUCAUUACAAUCUCCGAUGGGUUCUCUUUUAAUGCUGGUAUUAUUAUUAAAGAAUUAGGGCUCCGCAAUGAUGAUAAUGAGUUAGACGAAGCAUUGAGGAGAGAAUCUAAAGAGCAGUUAUUUGAAAUUAGGGACUGCUUCAACAAAAUACCAGAAAACUCUAAAAAAGAGGCAGAGAAAAGAGAAACUCUCAAGGAUGAUCUAAAUACAUCAGAAAUCAAAGACAAAGGUCCAAGGAAAGGGAAAGCUUCCAAUACCAACCACUCCUCAAAACCAUGGAUCAAGCGUGAGAUGGAUUUACCAAGUUCAUAGUACAACAAAGAACAUGGCGUACACGGUACAGGGAUUAAUAUUGAGUCAAGUUCAUGGAACACAGAAGAAGAACAGACUAGCCCAAGACCAAUGAGUAUCGAAGGAGAAGAGUCUGGACUAAGUAUAAGGAACGUGAGUGAAGAGUCUGUACCAAUUAUAAUUGUAAACGAUGAGACUGAAACCACAACAAACAGAAAUAGAGGAGAGAAAAGAAAGAUUCAGACGCAAUCAAGUGAGGGAAAGAAACUAAACCAAUCUGAUAUUAGGUUAGCCAAGUUUGCCACUCUCCUGAGUCAAGAUGACACUGGGAAUAUAGUUGAAAUACGUAAUAUUGACGAUGAGGAAAUAAACUCAUCGAUAACAGAUUCGGUUCCAAAUAAAACAUUUGAACCUUUCGAAUCUGAAAAAAUAAAGAGGAUUCCGGCACAAACUCCCCGGGAAGAAAAAGAUCUUAAUGUGAACAAAAUAGAUUCAGAAACCGGUAGACCUAAACCUGCGAGAAGAAUGCAAAUUUCAGGCUCCGACGGCAAAGGGAACCAUGUUGUCAAUAUUUCAGUAAAAAUACCAACCUGUUGUCAGAGCUCAACACAGAGAAUGGAGGAUUUUGUUACAGUCAAUUAUGAAGAAGGUAAGGAUAAAGUCGAUGGUUCUACCCAGAUCCAAGUUACAGAUCCUGAGAUGCAUGUAGACGACGACAAUAUGGAAAUAGAAGAAAAAUGUAAAGCAAUCAAAAAGCUUGUCUUGGGCAGUGACACAGAUGAUGAUGACAGCAAUAUGUCCAUGCUAGAUUUAUGCGUAUUUAAAAGGGAAUUUAUUGAAGAAAAUGCGCCGAAUCUCGGAGUGCCAGACAACAUGCUACCUGAAAUGCCCGAACGGCUACCUAGAAAGUCACGUAAUCCUCAUUUUAAAAGUGGAACUGGAUUGGUGCUGAGAGCUCUUACCCGCAAAUAUGAGCUGACUCUGGGAAGAGUGGAUUCCUACAAUAUCUGCGGGAUUCAGUCUGCUGUUCAAACAUUUUGUAAGCAAGUAGAUAAGCAAAAUCCUCCGACACAAGCAGCAGUUAGCACUGCUUUAAGUACGAGUCUACGAAAAAAGAAAUGGAUUAUGUUAGACGCCGAGAAUAUGUAUCAGAUCACAGAGGCAGGAUUACAGAUGGCAAGAAUAUUGAAUAAGGAUGCUGCUGAUUACAAGAAGAUGUAUGAUGAUGAAAAUACUGAAAUAAUUAUGCCUGACUCGGACUAGAUACAAUAGGACAAGCUUCUGUAGUCAGAACUUUUAAAUUCAUUUUUGAUCUACAGAUUAAUUUAAUUCCUAAACCUUGCAGGGAUAACUGCAAUUAAGGGAUCAAGUAUUUAAGAUAAUUGAUUCCGACCUCUGGUCAUGUUUUAUUCUCAUUAUUUAACUAGUCUAUAUAAAAAAACAUUUGUGUAUGUAUAUAUGUUGCCAAACGGCUGAAUUUUCAUUUGUGGACACUCAUAGGUGGUGUUAAAGGCUAAAAAAAUUAUUUAAUUUUUUUCCCACGGGCAACGCUGGUCCCUUCAGCUAGUAGAUAUUAAAACAGUUCACAAUACACCUUGUCAAUCUCAAAUAAAUAUCUCGUUUAUUUUUCACUAUAAUUGCAUAAUUUUUCACAUAUAUGUUUUCACUAUAAUUGCUUAUAUUUUUUCACCCGGUGCAUUGAUGACACCAGUGGACAAGUGAUGCCAAGGUUUACCAGUGAUUUUAAACAUGUAAAACCGUAUGAAAAGUAUUUUAUACUGAUUUUGGUCUAAAGUAAAUGCGAUUUAUGAAAUAGAACACUUAAACAAUUUUGCUUGCAUAAAAUCAAGUUGAAUUAUCGCCGCCAGUUUGGCCGAAUUUAAAGAAUUUGAGCCGCGUCUCAAAUUUAAGACGCGGCUCAAACAUGGUUGGUUCCACUUGAAAUUGUAUUCAGUGUCUCGAGAUUUGAGCCGGUGCUCAACUGAAACCGGUUCAGUGACGAGAUUUAAAGUCUUAAAAUUCGGCCUCGUAUCCUAGAUCCUAUAUACUUGGUUUCUAGUAUUAUGUACUUAACACUGCUUGAUAAUCAUUAACCCUAAAAAUUGAAUUGUAUGUUACCCUAAUUAAAGUACCUAACUAUUAAGUGUUAAGUACAAGACUGUAAUGAACCAAGUACCUAGUAACCAUAAAGAAUCUUUAUAAAAUCAAGUUCGUAAAUACAAGUAUUAGUCGAUGUAA